UUGCUUUUAGCAGAGGAGAACAAGAGAACUGCUUUCAGUUGAACAACAGACCAUACUCACAAAGUCUCCCAAGUCAACAGCAUUUGCUUUACUCGCCCCAAAUGUGAGAAUCUCGACUGCAUAAUUUGUGGUAGUGGGGGACUGCGUUCGCGCUCUCCCCUG
ensembl:snRNA U1 U1 spliceosomal RNA